rnacentral:tRNA from 1 species
GCGGCUAUGGUUUAGUGGUUAUGACAUGAGCUUCCCAAGCUCAGAACCCGGGUUCAAAUCCCGGUAGCCGCA